rnacentral:rRNA from 1 species
GGUCAUUUAGAGGAAGUAAAAGUCGUAACAAGGUUUCCGUAGGUGAACCUGCGGAAGGAUCAUUAAUGAUUGCGAAUGGUUGCCUUUGGUGCUGGCCCUUUCUUAGAGCAAGUGCACACUGGUGGCUUUCAUCCACUACCCAUGUGAACCUCUUGCCUCUCGCGAGCUUCGGCUAGCAAGAGGAUUUUUUAUACACACUCGAAUGUAAUGAAAACUAUUGUUGUGUGCGCAAGCACUAAUGUACAACUUUCAACAACGGAUCUCUUGGCUCUCGCAUCGAUGAAGAACGCAGCGAAAUGCGAUAAGUAAUGUGAAUUGCAGAAUUCAGUGAAUCAUCGAAUCUUUGAACGCACCUUGCACCCUUUGGCAUUCCGAAGGGUAUGCUCGUUUGAGUGUCAUUGUAAUCUCACACUCUCUGUCUGAUCAGGCAGGGAGCGGUGGACUUGGGUGUUGCCGCUUGAUUGUGGCUCACCUGAAAUGCAUUAGUGCACCUCUCAGUUGGACAUAGUACGGCGUGAUAAGUGUCUUCGCCGGCACCUUGCAAAAGGAUGGCUGAUUGGGAGCUCUGUGCUUUCAAACUGUCUUCGGACACACUCUGACAACUUGACCUCAAAUCGAGUAGGACUACCCGCUGAACUUAAGCAUAUCAAUAAGCGGAGGAA